GUCUCAGUGCAAGCCGAAUUAAGGUGAAACCGCGAAAAGCUCAUUAAAUCAGCUAUGGUUCCUUAGAUGGUACGUACAGUUACUUGGAUAACUGUGGCAAUUCUAGAGCUAAUACAUGCAAACCGAGUUCCGACCGCUUAGCAGGCGGAAGGAAUGCUUUUAUUAGAUCAAAACCAAUCGGACUCUGAAAUUAAUGGGUUCGUUUAAGUCUUGGUGACUCUGAAUAACUUUGUGCUGAUCGCACGGUCCCGCACCGGCGACGCAUCUUUCAAAUGUCUGACUUAUCAACUUUCGAUGGUAAGCUCUGCGCCUACCAUGGUCGUAACGGGUAACGGGGAAUCAGGGUUCGAUUCCGGAGAGGGAGCCUGAGAAACGGCUACCACAUCCAAGGAAGGCAGCAGGCGCGCAAAUUACCCACUCCCCGGCACGGGGAAGGUAGUGACGAAAAAUAACGAUGCAGAACUCUUUUCCGAGGCUCUGCAAUCGGAAUGAGAACACUCUAAAUCAUUUAACGAGUAUCCAUUGGAGGGCAAGUCUGGUGCCAGCAGCCGCGGUAAUUCCAGCUCCAAUAGCGUAUAUUAAAGUUGUUGCGGCUAAAAAGCUCGUAGUUGGACUUGUGUUCCGCGAUGUCGGUUCACCGCCCGUCGGUGUUUAACUGACAUGCCGCGGCACGUCCUGCCGGUUGGCGGAGCGGGGGCGGCUCCCGCGCGCAGAAAUAAGCGCGCAGGUCUUCCGACUCGAUUCGGGCACUCGCGUUCGCCGCCGCGAAUUCUUCGGAAUUUCGCGACGCGCGAAAUCGUCGAGCCCGCCCUUUCGAUCGGUUUGCGAAUUCCGUUCGGGACCUGCGGUCUCAGCCCUCUGCGGUCAUGCGGUCCGCUUCGGCUUUCGACCCUUCGAAAAGGGAAGCGAAGUUAAUGAAGGCGGGAGCGGCGGAUCGAGGCAACUCGGUCGCGCUCUGCCGGAUUUCUUCCUUUCCGGUCGGCAAGUCCGAUCCGCGUCCGUCAGUUUUUUGUCAAUCCUGUCGCGGUGCUCUUUGCCGAGUGUCGCGGCGGGCCGGCACGUUUACUUUGAACAAAUUUGAGUGCUUCAAGCAGGCCGUCGGCCGCCGGAAAAUCGUGUGCAUGGAAUAAUGGAAUAGGGCCACGGUUCUAUUUUGUUGGUUUUCCGGAAUCCCGAGGCAAUGAUUAAUAGGGACAGGCGGGGCAUUAGUAUCGACGUUAGAGUGAAAUUCUUGGAUCGUCGGAAGACUGACCUAAGCGAAAGCAUUUGCCAAGGAUGCUUCCUUUAAUCAAGAACGAAAGUUAGAGGUUCGAAGGCGAUCAGAUACCGCCCUAGUUCUAACCGUAAACGAUGCCAGCUAGCGAUCCGUCGAAGUUCUAACGAUGACUCGACGGGCAGCUCCCGGGAAACCAAAGCUUUUGGGUUCCGGGGGAAGUAUGGUUGCAAAGCUGAAACUUAAAGGAAUUGACGGAAGGGCACCACCAGGAGUGGAGCUUGCGGCUUAAUUUGACUCAACACGGGAAACCUCACCAGGCCCGGACACUGGAAGGAUUGACAGAUUGAGAGCUCUUUCUUGAUUCAGUGGGUGGUGGUGCAUGGCCGUUCUUAGUUGGUGGAGCGAUUUGUCUGGUUAAUUCCGAUAACGAACGAGACUCUAGCCUGUUAACUAGGCGAACACAAUUCCGGCAUCGUUAAUUCUCCUGCGGGGGAACAAAAAGCUGCCGGCGGCAUAAUUUCUUCUUAGAGGGACAGGCGGCUUCUAGCCGCACGAGAUUGAGCAAUAACAGGUCUGUGAUGCCCUUAGAUGUUCUGGGCCGCACGCGUGCUACACUGAAGGAAUCAACGUGUUUACACGUCCCGGGCCGAAAGGUCCGGGAAACCCGUUGAACCUCCUUCGUGCUAGGAAUUGGGACUUGCAAUUGUUUCCCAUGAACGAGGAAUUCCCAGUAAGCGCGAGUCAUAAGCUCGCGUUGAUUACGUCCCUGCCCUUUGUACACACCGCCCGUCGCUACUACCGAUUGAACGAUUUAGUGAGGUCUUCGGACCUGUGCGCGGGAGUCGCUUCUCGGCUACUUCCGCUGCCGCGGGAAAGACGACCGAACUUGAUCGUUUAGAGGAAGUAAAAGUCGUAACAAGGUU
rnacentral:rRNA from 1 species